rnacentral:rRNA from 1 species
GACGGAGGGGGCUAGCGUUGUUCGGAAUGACUGGGCGUAAAGGGCGCGUAGGCGGUUGUUUAAGUCUGUCGUGAAAUCCCCGGGCUCAACCUGGGAAUGGCGAUGGAAACUGGGCAGCUAGAGUGUGUCAGAGGAUGGUGGAAUUCCCGGUGUAGCAGUGAAAUGCGUAGAGAUCGGGAGGAACACCAGUGGCGAAGGCGGCCUUCUGGACCAAUACUGACGCUCAUGCACGAAAGCGUGGGGAGCAAACAGG